rnacentral:lncRNA from 1 species
GCCAGCAGUGAGAGCAGUGCACCAUUUCUCCAUGGGUCCAAGCACGUGUGCAUCCAUCCACAGCCAGCUGUGACCCACGCCCUGUAGCACUGGUGAGGAGGAACACGAGCAUCACUGUGCACUGAUGUAGUACAGCCACUAAAGCACUUUAAAACUGAUGACAGCGAGCUCUUUCACAGUGAGAACCUCAAUCAAGCCAUUACAAAAACAGCUUACCACAGCAUAACUCAGUGCAAGUCCUCUCUUCUCUCCUUCCUCACUUCCCAUGGAUAUACAGACCACCAGAACAGAAGAACAAAAGGCAGUGACAAAAAAAUUGGAAGUGUAUUUCAUAGCAAAACACUUAAUUAUUACAUGAAGAAUCACCCUCCAGACAAGGACAAUUCUGAGCCUUCCAGAAGAUGAAAUGCUGUCUCAACAACAUAUAGCAUUGCUUUCCUUUAAAGCUGUAUUUAAAACAAGGAAAUUAGAUUUUUACAGGAGGGGUUCUCACUUCAAUCGGAAGAGAUUCUUUGAGAUAUGUGUAACCAGACCAGCUCACCCACUUUCUAAACCCACAACUUCUCAUACCUGACAAAACAUCCAAGCUCCAGAUCACUCAAAUCUAAGAUUUGAGACUUUAUCUCCAACCUCUUGGGAACGCCGACCGUGGCACAACAACAGAUGUGGAAGAACAGAAGAUCUACAAGAUGGAAUUCUCAGCAAGAACAUUCCUGAAUCAAAUUUUUCACACAAGCAAGCCAAGUCAAAAAGCUGAAAACACAAACACAGGAUACUCCAGCAACACCCUUCAUGACUUGGCUGAGUGUAACAGGACUGUGCUGGCUCCCUGCCCAUACUCCAGCAGCAGCAGGGCAUUGCUACAGGGCACUGAUGAGUGAACACUUUGUCUCCAGGUGCUUCACAGACAAUAGGUGGCUGCCAGCUCUGCCAGCUGAAGGUCUGCAGAUGCCUCAAUAUAUACCCAGGUGCCUCACAAGGAUUUCUACUGCACUUGGUUACAACUUCAGAAAGGGCUAAAGCAAUAGAACUGCCUUGUGAAGUCAUCUGGCUGGAAGUACUGAGCCCAUGUGUUUGAGAUCUGGAAUACAGCAGAGCUGUGAAAUGCUGGAGCAGCAACCUGGGAGUCUGACAUUCACCUGCUUCUUCAUGAAU